rnacentral:lncRNA from 1 species
UCUGGGUUUGAAUGUGAAGUGUUCUUCUUGACCGUUUAUGUUGAACUUAAUUUCUCCUUUUCCGACAUCAAUGUGGGCAUUGGCAGUGCUCAGAAAUGGCCUUCCAAGGAUGAUGGACACUUUCGAGUCAGGACUAAUGUCCAGUACUACGAAGUCUACUGGCACCAGGAAAUCUCUGAUCUUGACUGGAAUGUUCUCGGCGAUGCCCAACGGGUGUCGAACCGAUUGAUCCGCUAGUUGUAGACACAUUGAUGUUGGUUCUAAGGUUGCAUGAUCAAGCUUUUUGUAGACUGAUGCUGGCAUCACACUGACACUUGCUCCGAGAUCACAAAGUGCAUUGUUGAAGUGUUGGUUUCCGAUCGAGCAAUCAAUAGUGGGGC